GCUUCAUCUGGAAAAGCUCAAGUACACAAACAAGACAUAGUGAAACCGGAAAAGACUGUUUCUCAUGGUAAACCAGAUGAAAAAGUUGUCAAGCAGGUAAAAGCUACCACAAUAGAAAAAACAGUCAAGCCCAAAUCAGCAAAAAAAGCUGAACAUCA